rnacentral:lncRNA from 1 species
CAUUAACAGGCGGCUCCUGCCCUUAAUUAAAGGUCAGCAAGGCUGGGGACAAGGACGGUGCUGGGUGUAGAAGCUUUAAGGGAGCAGCUAUUAAAUGUAUUUAGAGUCGCUGUGGUGGUUUUAUUCAUCCUCCAGGCUGGAAAAACAGGCAGCUUGGGGAGGAGAAAGGGGCCGGCUCAGGUGUGGCAUUAGGACCCAGCGGAUCCCCCUUGGUGGAGUGUCCUCCAGCUGCUCCCCCAUCGCUGCCAUCAGGAUGAGAGCGGUUGGACUCUUCUUGCUGUGUCUGCCAGGUGA